AUUAUCGCCCAAAGAAAACAAAAACAGAGAGAAUAUCAGAGCAGGCAGUUAGGCAGUGGUGAGUAAGCGAAGCUUUGACAGAGGAGACGACAAUGGCGAACCCUAGAAGGACCUCAAUUUCGUUGUUUUCUUCGAGCAAUCCACAAAGCUUAGAGAGUCCAUUUCACAUUCAAUCCCAUGGCCGAACUCUUUCUCUCUCGUUACGCUUCUUAUUCUCGUUUCUGAAGAACUUUCUGAAGAAGCCUCACGCGUUCCCUUUCUUGCUCUCUGUUUUCCUGUUACUCACAUGGAUUUCUCUCAGAAUCCAGCACUCUUCUUCUCAAUUCUCCUCUCCCGAUUCCUCCCGCUUUGAACAGAAUCCUGAUUCGUGGAGCAAGGACGACGAUCUCAAGGCCAACCUCGUUCGCUUCAAGUCUGGAUUUCCUUCCCCGAUUUCCAGGGACAAAAGGGGCUGGAUACUCGAUCCUAUUUCCCUUGCGCUUGAUUCUGGCAUUCCUGGUGGAGCAAUGUCCUGUGCUUCUGUUCAUAUUGGGGAAAUUCAACCUGGUGCUAUGAGGGGAAACCACAGACAUCAUACAUGUAACGAAACAUUUGUCCUGUGGGGGGCUAGAACAAAAUUCAGGUUGGAAAACAGCAAGGUAGGCGAUAAAGGAUAUGCUGAAGUGAUAAUCAGUGCAGAUGAGGUUGCUGUUGCAGCAAGUCCAAGAGGAACAGCCCAUGCAUUAAUAAACAUGGAUCCCGUUCGGACUACAUUAUUUCUGGGGUGUCAAGAUGGUAUUAUAAACUAUAACACUUCGACUUCAGAUUUUAAAGUUUGGAAAGAUCUUUAGUUGCAAUAGCCUAUCCUAAUUCAGCCCCUGUUUAGGUCUCGGUGGAGGGGAUAGCAUUGUAUUUCAAAUUUAGGGAAUUUGUGAUCAAGUUGUCGUGAGAUAUGUUGAAUCAGCCAGCUUUCUUUUUUGGGAUUAUAUUUUUACUCAAAAGACCUCGGUAGAAGCUGUUCGGGGGGGUUUAUAAUUUCCGCGUUCGGCAGAAGCUGUAUGGUAAAAUUGGCAUCAUGUAAGUUGGCUGAUAAUUCCCUGGAAAAACAUUAGUCUUUUUGUGGAAAUUUAGGAGAAUUUUGCAGAUUGUGGGAAGAUAUUUGGGAUCUCUAUAGUCUUUGUUGCUUCUUGCUCCUGGAAUGCUCUCGCAAAUUCGUUUUCUGUAAUUCUUUUGCCUAGGAUCUUUUUCUGGAGAGUGUCUUCCUCUUUGACCUCCCUAUAGCUUCCGACUUUUCAAUGAAAUGGUCUCGUUCCAUACGAGGAAAACAACUGUCUAUUGAACGUGAUUUUGUAGUUUCUUAUUU